GUGUCUAAUGAAAAGAGAGACGGUUAGAACUCCCCUUGACGAGGAUGGAGCCCUCAUAUUGUAUAGUUUUAUCUUAUUUUACUACAAUAGUCGUAGUAUCUGUUGUUUUAUUUUU
rnacentral:ncRNA from 1 species